GUCGUACGAUGAACCACUUCGGUGGGGAUUAGUGGCGAACGGGUGAGUAACACGUGCGGCAAUCUGCCCUGCACUCUGGGACAAGCCCUGGAAACGGGGUCUAAUACCGGAUACUGAUCAUCUUGGGCAUCCAAGGUGUUCGAAAGCUCCGGCGGUGCAGGAUGAGCCCGCGGCCUAUCAGCUUGUUGGUGAGGUAAUGGCUCACCAAGGCGACGACGGGUAGCCGGCCUGAGAGGGCGACCGGCCACACUGGGACUGAGACACGGCCCAGACUCCUACGGGAGGCAGCAGUGGGGAAUAUUGCACAAUGGGCGAAAGCCUGAUGCAGCGACGCCGCGUGAGGGAUGACGGCCUUCGGGUUGUAAACCUCUUUCAGCAGGGAAGAAGCGAAAGUGACGGUACCUGCAGAAGAAGCGCCGGCUAACUACGUGCCAGCAGCCGCGGUAAUACGUAGGGCGCGAGCGUUGUCCGGAAUUAUUGGGCGUAAAGAGCUCGUAGGCGGCUUGUCACGUCGGUUGUGAAAGCCCGGGGCUUAACCCCGGGUCUGCAGUCGAUACGGGCAGGCUAGAGUUCGGUAGGGGAGAUCGGAAUUCCUGGUGUAGCGGUGAAAUGCGCAGAUAUCAGGAGGAACACCGGGGGCGAAGGCGGAUCUCUGGGCCGAUACUGACGCUGAGGAGCGAAAGCGUGGGGAGCGAACAGGAUUAGAUACCCUGGUAGUCCACGCCGUAAACGGUGGGCACUAGGUGUGGGCAACAUUCCACGUUGUCCGUGCCGCAGCUAACGCAU
rnacentral:rRNA from 1 species